rnacentral:lncRNA from 1 species
AUGUAUAAGGGUUUUGAUUCUUGAAAGUCAAUAUUGUUGGCUUGUCUUCUUUCUUACAAAUUCUUGAUCUUUAUUUGUGUUUAAGAUUAAGAUCUGAAGGAAAGUAACUUUGAAGAUUAAGAUUUAAAAACCAUUUAUAGUUGUAGAACAUAUCAAGAACAAGAAAACACCAAAAAGGGUAGGUUUUAAUGCUUAAUUUUCAGCUGUUUAUAUUUUCAUGAUCCAUAAAAGUGUAUAAAAGGCAUAUCUUGAAAAUUAAACUAGUUCUAGAUUUAGUCAUACAUGUUAACAUACAACAUACAUACUCAAAGUCACAUAGCAAUAUUAUGUUUUAUCAUGUAUCAAUUUCAUGAUAAGGAUCCCACUUUAAAUCAUUUUUGAC